UACGAGGGGGCAAGCGUUGUUCGGAAUUAUUGGGCGUAAAGGGCGCGUAGGCGGUGCGGUAAGUCUGAUGUGAAAUCUCCGGGCUCAACUCGGAGUCUGCAUCAGAAACUGCCGUGCUCGAGUGUGGGAGAGGUGAGUGGAAUUCCCGGUGUAGCGGUGAAAUGCGUAGAUAAUCGGGAGGAACACCUGUGGCGAAAGCGGCUCACUGGACCACAACUGACGCUGAGGCGCGAAAGCUAGGGGAGCAAACAGGGAUUAAGA
rnacentral:rRNA from 1 species